UUUCUCCUUUUUCCUGAUACAUUGAGUGUAUUUAUGUUUUCAAGUCAGAAAUUCAAGCAUGAAUAAUAACAGUAGCUUUGCAUUUACACCGUUUACCGUAGUGAGUUGAGAGGUUAUAAAUAGUUGAAAGCGAAAUGCAGGGUCUCUCGAGGAUUCAUCGGCUAUUUUCUACGAGUUUUUGUAAAAGGGGUAGUUUGACUUGGUAAACACCGUAGGGGCUUGAUAACAGUUGGGAAUGCGAUGAAGGAAGAGGGUAGUUUUAAAUGAGGCUUAAUUAUUAAGCGUUCUGUAGAACAAAGGGCUAGGGCUCUUGUCAGCUCGUGUACGCAGGCUGCUUCUGCAUGCUAGAUAAAUAGGGCUGUGGAAAGAGCAAAAGAAAAAGUAUAGAGAGGAAAGCGGAAUUCUUUAUUUCGUAAUUAACACUGAGAAACGUAUCACCCCUUGGGACGUUCCCUUCUUUCGCUCUGUUCUUUUCUAGCACACGUCGCAUGCAUAUUGCAUAUAUAUGUAUAUACAACCUGCAAUUGAAACUGGUGACAGCGCUACUGUGUACUCUUGACGGGGGCCCAGAGAAUUACUUUCUAUCCGGGUGUACAGGUAUUUAAGUAUCGUACGUGUACUGAAUCAAUUUCGAUGCUUGCUUUUACAGGUAGAAUUAUUAUAGCAUCUAUAAUUCAAUGAGAUCCCACGACGAUAUAUGACAUAUAAAUAAUGUGAAAAACAGGAUAGAGCGAUUGGCAUGGCGGUCGUAUUGCUCAUAAUACAUUUUAUUGGUUGGUCGGAUCGAUGGAAGGGGGAAGUGGAGGCAAUGAAUAUUUAUUAAAUACCAACUGUAACGACUCCGGAAAUGAAAUGAAAGACCAAAAAAUGGGACCUCUGUGGGACAGCUGAAAUUUUAAUACCAUUGCUUUUCUCUUUUUUCUUUUUUAAAAGAAUUAAUUUGAGAAGCUCUAAACGAGCUUUGCAUUGUGUUGCUGGAGAAUAUGCAAAACGAUGCUGUUUUACACAGACCUGAAUUACUUUAAUAAAUUUCUCCUCUUUUUUUAUAGCUGCAUGCUAAAGGACCCCAGUGUAUGUACCAGUGCAUACAGUUUCACGGAAAAGGGUGGAUUGCGGAUGUAGGCUCGAAAUAAUUAAGUCCUGCGAAAGGGUGCAGGUGCUAUAAAACGUUAACCCCUCAGACAUGAACCUAACCCUUAACCCUUCGUGUAAAGAGGUCGAAAUAAGAUGGCCUGUCUGAAUAUCUGGUGCAGUAGACCCAAGCUGGCCAGAGACUUUGUGCCGUGCUCGAAUUACUUGUGCCACUUCCGGUUCCAUUUGUGCUGCUGUGUGUACUGUCACCGCUGAUGGAGUCGCCGCCUAUUGUGGACGCUGCUGAUGAUAGGGAUGGUGCACCAGUGAUUGAACUUCCGUGGGACGAAAGGCCAUCCCUCUCGCGAUGGAGGGAAAAAUUCGAAGUGGAUGACAAUUGGGGCGAAAGUCUUGUGGACGAGAGACUCAGAUCCCGCGGAAUUUGAAGCGGACUGUGUUGAGAAAUUUGUACCGGAAGUGACAGUCUUUGAUGUGCUGUCGGUAAGGAGUUCGGUCUCAAAGGCAGAGACGUCGCCCAGCCAUGCCGGGUGUGUCGUCCUCGGACGGAAGCUUGUUAGCAGGGAAUUACGACUUCCGCGUCCAUUAGAAUGCCGAGAUGCUAACUACGGCUUACGUACGUGUAACUCCAUAUCGGGUUGCCACCGCAGAAACACGUUCUGAUUCUGCCAGUUGGCAGGCCGCCGUAAUUCUGUAUUCUGUAUACUAUACGGUCUGUAUUUUGUAUUCCUUAUACCAGUCUCUUCUGUAUUCUCUACAUACGGUAUAUACUCUGCACUCUGUUACAGGAACGUUUUACAUUAUGGUACGCGAGCAAUAAACCUAAACGAGUACAAGACGAGUCAGCAUAUUGGUUCUGGGACUUACCUUUGUUAAGGUGCGGCCUUGUUUGGGACUUACGGCGUCCGUUCCGGAUAAACUGAGGAAGAAUGUUCUGUUUCGAAAACACAAUUCGUUCUGUGCGGAUUGUUAUCGUGGCAGGGAUGCUGCUGUUUUCUACCUGCGCUUUGGGCCUUAUGAUUCCGUCACGGAGAGCGACGCGACUUUUUAUGGGCUUUUCGGGGGCAUUCGGGGGAUACGGCUAAUGUUCUUGAGCUUUUGGGAGUGAUUAUUUUUUGGAGUUUGUCGUACUUCGUUUUUCGAUGAUAACAAAAAAAAUGGGUCUGGUUGUGUUUCAUUUUUUGGGCGUAAUUAGUCUAACUUUUUUUGGAAUGUGGUUAACUGUAUGUGUAUAUGUAUUUUUGAAGCGAAGCAGAUAGUCGUGCAGAGAUACAUCAUUCGUAGAAAGUUAAUAGUCGGCGAUAAGGCCCAAUUUUAAAAAAUGAAUAUUUUUCGUAACUAUUGGGGAUAAUGGAUUUAUAUAUAUAUAUAUAUUUUUUAUAUGCAUCAACCGUAUACCGUUUAUGUUAAAUUUAUUUGAGUGUGUACGUUCUCUCCUGUACUCUGUCUGUACGUGCCGGGUACACAAUGGGCCCGAUCUAUGUCGCAUUGUACAUUGCGGUAAAAUCUUUGGGCCCACCAGUCGCGAUACCGCUCUUCGAAGAAGGGUUUGUUUAUACUUGAAGAAGACGGGGGGCCUUAUUGUUCCCUGUGACCAAUUGCACACCAGGGGUCUGCAAUGGGACCUGGUCACUCUUUCCUUUUAUAAACGGGAUAGAAAAAUGUCCAGGAUGUUUCUACGGUGACAGGAACUUCGACGGGAUGGACCAGUAGAGAUGGCUACAGGUAGCGAAGAAUAUUAAGGCCCAGCGCGAGGGACACUCUCAAGCUAAGAAAAACUUAGUGAAAUGGUUUAGUAUACGGGGGGUCCCAUUAUGUUGCUUAGAUAAUCUGAUUUGCGUGACUGAGUUGUCAAUGUCCUUGACAGUUGUCAAUCUUUAGAAGAGAAGGACCGUCUUGGACAUUUUCACUGACCCUGACGUCAAUUUUUAUUGAGAUUUUUUUUUUCAAUUUGCAGGCCCAAAAUUCGUACCACCAAAGUUUAACCAGCUUGCUUUAAUGUAAAGCCGUUUUUAUCUGCUGCCGCUCUUACCGGAGGUUCGUGUUGACCGACGGCCAGGAUAAUCCGGAUUAAAAAGUCAAUGGCUCCUGUUUACGAAAAUACAAGGACGUCCAGGAAGGCGUCGGAGGAAUCAGAUGGAAUUUACGGUUGUCAGGAUCAGCGAACCGAGGUGGAGAAAAUCAAAGGAAAAAGAUGGCAAGGACGUUUUAAAGUCCUGGAUGAAUUUUGUCAAAGAAAAAUAACGGGUGUCUCUUUAAAUUGAUACCAGGAUCUUUGGCAUCCUUAUCGAUCGCAUCGAGCGUGCGAAUGUUCUAGAAGAAAUGUAAAAUCAACAUUUAAUAACGGCAAUACGUAUAUUACAGGUGUUUUUAAUUAACCAAUAAAUCCCAAGAGACUGUAGCCGCAUCGAGCAUCUAAUUAUACACGGUGUACUAUUUUUAAAAGAAUAUUUUACUUUUUUGCCAGUCUGGCAAAAUGAGGCGCCAAUCAAAAUGAAACGACAAAAAGGCGUCGAGACCUUUAGGAAAUGAGCAAACUCGAAACGUGCCACCAGAAAAUUAGACG